UACGUAGGGUGCAAGCGUUGUCCGGAAUUAUUGGGCGUAAAGAGCUCGUAGGCGGUUUGUCGCGUCUGCUGUGAAAACCCGAGGCUCAACCUCGGGCCUGCAGUGGGUACGGGCAGACUAGAGUGCGGUAGGGGAGAUUGGAAUUCCUGGUGUAGCGGUGGAAUGCGCAGAUAUCAGGAGGAACACCAAUGGCGAAGGCAGAUCGCUGGGCCGGAACUGACGCUGAGGAGCGAAAGCGUGGGGAGCGAACAGG
rnacentral:rRNA from 1 species